rnacentral:lncRNA from 1 species
AAUUGUAUCUGUGUAAUGUUAAAACAAACGAAAUAAAAUAGAAGGAAAAACUUUCUGAGUUUCAAAAACAACAGACUAGUACUCUAAAGAACUCUUUAAAACAAUUAACUGUUAGGAUUGCAGUUAUGAUUGGAUAUUAUUUAAUUCUGUUUCUGAUGUGGGGUUCCUCCACUGUGUUCUGUGUGCUAUUAAUAUUUACCAUUGCAGAAGCUUCAUUCAGUGUUGAAAAUGAAUGCUUAGUGGAUCUGUGCCUCUUAUGCAUAUGUUACAAAUUAUCUGGAGUUCCUAAUCAAUGCAGAGUUCCCCUCCCCUCCGAUUGUUCUAAAUAAUUGAAAGAUGUCUGCUGUGGAAAAAGGCAUGUAUUUAAAUCUGUAUGAUUCUCAACCAUCUUUAGUUGGGAAAGGUCCUUGAAAGCCAAUGGAAAUACUUUUUUUUUUUCUUGGCACUAAUCAAGUGAGUGUUACCUUUUCACUUAGUAGGAUGUGUUGUUACGCUAGUAAAAUAGAAACCUGUGUUUAUUCUCAGGUAUUUUAGAAACAACAGCCAUCAUUUUAUUUUAUGUGUGUGUUCUUGGCUGUAUUCAUAAAUUAUAUAUUUUGGGCUAUCAAAUAUUACUUCAUUCAAUAUAAAUAACAAUAGUAGAAGUUGUUUACUUAGAUAUGCUUUCUAGUUGCAUUUUCUCAGCCUAUGUAAGACUACUUUGUUGUAAUAGCCUUUGAAAUUUACAGUACUGUCUCUCUACUAUCUUCAGAUUACUUGAUUCAAAUAAACCAAUUAUGUUUGUAAUUGAUAUUAAUAAAACCAGAAUAAAAGUUCAUAUCUACCC